GCGCUGCUGGCCGGACAGAACGGCUCGCUGCCGGAGCUGGCGGCGGGCGCGAUGGGCGGUUCGACCGCGCUGCUGAGCC
rnacentral:tRNA from 2 species